UUUGUGUAUUUCAAUUGAUAGGUAUCAAUUGUUAGUUGUUAUUUGAUACUUUUCUGUCUGGCAUUUCUGAGUUUUUUUUUGUGAUUAUUACCAGCAAGUAGUUAAUAAGAAUUAUCAUAUACUUUUGUAAAUGUAGAAAUAUUGUGUCCCACCGACCAGCUGUGGUGACGCCAGUCGCCAACAGCUACAGCGCUUUUCCAGGAGGCUUCAGUUAUUCUGUGACUGGUGACCAAGGCACGACACAUCACCCAGCAACUCACAAUCUCGCUGGCGGAGAGUGUUGCUGAGCAGCUGACCAACUGCGGCUGCUGGAGCGUUUCUCAGUCGUCGACCUCCGUAGACUGUCAAGCCUCCCUGGCCUUCUGCGACUCAAGAAGGAGGGAUUUUUAUCUGUGUUUACCAUACAAGAGACAUUUUAAUCUGACGAUUCGAUCGGAUCUGGAUCAUGAAUCCCGAGGCGGUGUGACAGAUGGUCGAGGUCGGCGCGCCACGCCAGACGCCUUCUCGCGCGGGGCGUGCUCAGGUCAGUCAGGUUGCGCUGCCGGACUCUGCUCCGAGGAGAGAAGCACAUAAGCGCAGUCAGGACGCGAGUGUGUUUGCACCGCCCCGGUCCCAGCAACCGCAUGGCGGUGGGGACUCACAGCCCGGCUGAUGGUUCCAGAUCGUCUCAGCGCAGCUUCUUCUCCGGACCCCGGCGCGGCAGCGAGGCUGGUGGUUCGGAGCCGACUGAUGGAGGACAGCAAAAGAACAGCAGGACAGGACAGCACCCUAACAGUAGCCUUCGGUCAUGUGGCGAGAGCUGGGCCCCGGACCGGUCGAAAGGGUGCUCACUGCUGACUGCUCAGCUGAGUGGGUAAUGUCCGCGUCUCGUUAGUGUCCCCGGCCAGGUCCUGAAGGGUAGAUGAGGGCGGGAUAUUCUCCUUUAUAGACGCAGAGCAAUGCCAGAAGAAUGGUUUUGCGAUCGAGUUGCAUGCGCUGUCCCCGCCUGUCGCUCCUGCUGCCGCCGGCGGGGUUGGCGCCAAUGGCCAUUGACGGGGCUGCUGUGUUUGUAAAUUAGGUUGGAUGGACCCCUGCUCUCAGAGUUUUGUGUUGGUCGCUGGUAACCCAUGUUUUGUGGCCAGCGUGUUACGAACCCACGUAGUGGU
rnacentral:lncRNA from 1 species